rnacentral:rRNA from 1 species
GACGAACGCUGGCGGCGUGCUUAACACAUGCAAGUCGAACGGUAAGGCCCUUCGGGGUACACGAGUGGCGAACGGGUGAGUAACACGUGGGUGAUCUGCCCUGCACUUCGGGAUAAGCCUGGGAAACUGGGUCUAAUACCGGAUAGGACCACUGCCUGCAUGGGUGGUGGUGGAAAGCUUUUGCGGUGUGGGAUGGGCCCGCGGCCUAUCAGCUUGUUGGUGGGGUGAUGGCCUACCAAGGCGACGACGGGUAGCCGGCCUGAGGGGGUGACCGGCCAACAUCGCACUGGGAUGCGGCCCAGACGCCUACGGGAGUCACAAGUCGGGAAUAGUGCCCCAAGGGCGCGAGCCUGAUGCAGCGACUCCGCGUGAGGGAUGACGGCCUUCGGGUUGUAAACCCCUUUCAGGACCGACGAAGCGCAAGUGACGGUAGGUGCAGAAGAAGGACCGGCCAACUACGUGCCAGCAGCCGCCGUAAAAC